ACUAAACAUAAUGUCCUCCAGGCUUAUCUAUGAUGUUGCAAAUGACAGAAUUUCUUUCUUUUUAAAGGGUGUCUAGUAUUGUGUAGCCAAUUCUUCAUAAUCCCAAGAUAUCAUUACUAUGUGAUAAUAAAGGCAAGCGUAUGAAGUAAAAGAAACUGUAGUAGGUCAAACUAAUAAGAAAAAUGCUGAUCUGAAUGUCUAUACAAUGCAUAGAUUGUGUUUUUAAAAAUGCAACAGUAUAUAAUUUCCGGACCUGCUAUAGUCUUGGGAACUAAGCAGUAUAAAACUUGGCUAGUGACUAGAUAAAAUGAUGAUGUAUAACAGACAUUAGUUACUUAUAUGCUUAAUUAAUCUGAACAUUUACCCUACACUCUUAUUGGCGUUAUUAAUUUGUUCAAUUUGUUAAAAGAGUUUCCUAAGAAAAUGUGGCUUUAUUUCAGUACCUAUUUUGAAUCCCAAAUAUUUUUUAUAUUCUGGCUUGAUAACUGAGUGACUAAGAGGUUUCAGGGCCUUGCUACUUGGGUUUGUAUACAGGCCUACCAUUUUCUGGCUAUGUUUUCUUAGAUUACUUCACCUCUCUGUAACUUAGUUUCCUCAAUGAUAAAAUAAAAAUAAUAAUCAUGGUCACCUCAUAGGGUAGUUAGGAGGAUUGAAUGUGUUAGUUCUUAUAAAGUGAUUAAAGAACCAAAUGCAUAGUAUGUUAGUUCUUGUUUAUUUUUCUUGAAGUUAACUGUAGGAAUUUUACCACUUACAAUUUACAGUGGCAUUGCUCUAUGGGAAUAAUACUACGUGGGAGGAUUCUACCGUGGUUUUUGAUAUAGUUUGGAUGCUGUCCUCCUCCAAAUCUCAUGUGGAAAUGUAAUCUCCAGUGUUGAAGGUGGGGCCUCGUGGGAGGUGAUUGGAUCAUGGGGAGUCUUUCCCCCUUGGUACUGUCCUCACCACAGUGAGUGAGGUCCUGUGAGAUCUCAUUGUUUAAAAGUGUGUGGCACUCCCCCAACUCCUGCUCCUGCUUCCGCCAUGUGAAAUGCCUCACUUCCCCUUUGCCUUCCACCAUGAUUGGAAGAUUCCUGAGGCCUCCCCAGAAGCAAAAGCUGCUAUGCUUCAUGUACAACCUGCAGAGCCAUGAGCCAAUUAAACCUCUUUUCUUUAUAAAUUACCCAGUCUUAGGUAUUUUUUUAUAGCAGUGAAUGGAUUAACACAUUUUAUUUCAAAUUUAUAUCCUGUAUAGCCUUGCAUUAUGAAAAGAGCACAGAACAGGAAGUUAGGACAUCUUGCUUUGAGGUCUAGAACAGCCAUCAACUAUAUGAUCUUGGGUGAGUCACUUCACCUCUCUGAACCUGUUUCCUCAAGAAAAAUAAGCAGAGUAGGCUGCCUGCGUGAUCUCAAGACAACACACUGUGCUAGAAUGAGUCUUACAGCAAGAGUUCAAAGUUCAAAUUCUAAUUCUAGAACUCGUUGAGUGUAAAAUUCACAGCAAGUCAUAGAACCUCUUGGAACCCCAGUUUCCACAUCUGGAAGAAGGGGCAGAAUAGUAUCAAAAAUGCUUCACUCCCAGGAAUGUGGUGAGCAUAAAAUUAAAUAAUGAAAAAGUCAACUAUAAAGCACUAAAUAAAUAUAAGAUGGUGAAUCUGACAGAGGAAGAAUUAAAUGACUUGUUCAAGGUCACCUUUGAGGAAUUUGCAGGAAGUUUAACUUAUGUAUAUUUUUCCCCUGUAGUACCCCAGUCUAUAUUUUUUCAGGGGCCUAAUGACAGGAAAACAAAUGAAGUGGAUCCCCAUCUUCCACCCUUGCCUCCGCUAAGCCAUCAGAGGACAAGUUUCCCACCCCACUCUCUCCAAUUUCACUUGAAAAAUAAAACAGGCCUCCAGCUGUGAAAUGGAUUAUGCUCUACAACUAUGUACCUGGAAUAGAAGCCAUCAUUCUUCAUGAAGUUUGCUGAGAAUUAUGUAUCGCAGCCUGGCAGCUUCCUGUUCCCUCGUUAGCCUGCAUAUCCCACUUAACGAAAGAUUCGCCAUGCACUGACUUGUAUGUGACUCACAGUGUGCACAGUAUGCACUGACUGUGACCUGUCCCCAAAUGAACACAGUACCAGUCUAACGUACCACCUUACCUAUGGCUCUCUCCCAUACACACCCAAUCCACUGCAGGCAAAUGAUCUACCCACAAUCUCCCAAACACAGUCUUCACUGUCUGGUCACUGCUCCUUUACACGUGGCAUUCACUCUGCUUGCAGAGGCAUUUUAGAGUGGAUAUCUAAAGAAGGAGAUUUCUCCCAAGCAUGCACAUAGGAGGGCACUGGUCUGAUGCUCUGAUUGACAGUUCACUACUGCAAAGAGGACAGAUGAGAAAGCAGCUCAGCUCUUUGAUGCUAAGGAAAAAACACAGAACCUCACUUAUCUAUAUGUAAUCACAAACUUUAGUAUCCAUCAGUACCAAGCCAAAAUAGUUCCUGUUUGGACAUACAUUAUUAGAAAUUAACAACAAAAUUUAGUAAAUGGUUGGCCAGUUCUGAACGCAGAAUAGCCACCUCUGAGUGAGCAUUUUGAUCAAUCUAACUCACACAUUUCUGGUUCAACAAAGUUAUUAGAUGAGAAGACCCAAAACGGUGUGUAAAUGGGACACAGAUUUAUAAACAGUUAAUUUAUAAUCAUAUAUGGCAAAUUAACCUGUAUGUCACUAAUGUGCCACCAAUCAUAAGACAUGCCAUCAUUUAAUCUGUCAUGAAGAAGUGAAAAACUCAAUUAAACGGUGACAUCAUGCUUCCUGAUUAGAAAUGUUCAUUUUUUUGUUAUGCUAAAUUUACAUAAAUACAUAUUUAUUUAAACAACACGGGGCCACAAUAUGAACAUCUAUGCCCAAGUUUCUGCAUGCCCAGCAAUGACUGCCACCCUGACAAUGGUGACUGAUAUCAUCAAGUGUAACAUGCAUCCUGAUUCAAGUUGUUCAACUGUGACACAACGGGUACCUUAGCACUGAUGAAAUAUGGUACCCGCCUGCGUCACAUGAGCUUCUCAUGAUCCAGCAGCCUCUCCUCACCUGACACUGGCUCUAGUCCCCAGUAAUGACUCUGAUCCUGUUUGUCCUAGGAGUCUUCUCUUCCUUUGUUUCCCACUUCCCUCACUGGGCUACUCAGUAACCAGUUAGCUGUUAAGGCGCAAGCCUUUUUUUAUUUUAAUUUUUAUUUUUUCCAAAACUCCUCAACAAUUGCAAUUGCCACUUUGUUUCUACUAUUAUUGCCCUUGACUUAUUUCUUUAUUUAUUUAAGUUUCUUUUGUUUUUAAACAAGAAGGCUGGGUACAGUGGCUCGUGCA
rnacentral:lncRNA from 1 species